rnacentral:rRNA from 1 species
CCCUUAGAUGUUCUGGGUCGCACGCGCGCUACACUGACGAAUGCAACGAGCUUAUAACCUUGGCCGAAAGGUCUGGGUAAUCUCCAAAUUUCGUCGUGAUGGGGAUAGAUUAUUGCAAUUAUUAAUCCUCAACGAGGAAUGCCUAGUAAGCGCAGGUCAUCAGCUUGCGUUGAUUACGUCCCUGCCCUUUGUACACACCGCCCGUCGCUCCUACCGAUUGAAUGGUCCGGUGAAGCGCUCGGACCGCGGCCUCUUGACGGUUCGCUGUCGAUUGGCUGUGGGAAGUUCGUUAAACCUUAUCAUUUAGAGGAAGGAGAAGUCGUAACA